rnacentral:lncRNA from 1 species
AUUUGGAGAGAUUUGAGGUUUUUCAUCUUUAAAAAAGCAUUUUCAUUCAUUUAAAUAAUUGAAAUUAAAUUGUUUAAUUGCAUAAAAUUAUAUUGAGCCAGUUGUUUGACUUUGUGUUGACUCCUCUUCUGUUUGUCCUUACAUCUUGGUUGAAUUGGACUUCAAUUUGAUCAAAACCAUUGGAUUUAGGGGGUUGAUGAAGUUUGAACGUCAUCCCCCAAAAUGAAUGGAUGGUAUUGAUCAAAUGAAGUUCAUCCCUUAAUCAAUUUGG